GCAGGUUUCAUGAGUGAAAAAUCAAGUGAAAGCAUUCAUGGUCCUGAAGAUGAUCGGGUCCAAAGGUUAUCUCCUGAGCUGUUUUGUUUUCUCAUCCAUCUCUGACUUCAUGAAUCUUCAUUCUUCUCCUCAUUAAUCAGCAGGUUUCACUCUGACAGCUGUUCCUCUCUGCAGCUGUCGGAAAUCUGUUUUUCAUUUUCUGCAUAUCGAUCGUGCUCUCUCUCCCUCUGUUCUGCUGUCGCUCGCCCCGUGUUUCAACAGUUUGCCAUCGUCCCCCGGGAGACGGUGUAACACGCACAGCUGAUGUGACGGACAGAUGUCUCCUCCGGCAGCUGGGGCACCGCGUGAGAGCGAGAUGUAAAUGUGGGUAAGUGGAGCGCCUGUUAAUGACAGAGCGUGUUCUUCAAACACAGAUGUACGCAGGAGGAAAACAAGCCCACCUGCUCUACAGUCACUUCACCACCACACAGACAUGAACCAUCAUAAAAAGACGCCUCAUUAAAACUCCUGCAGACCUGAGGGCUCUCACAGGAUCAGGACUAGAGCAGAGCUGUAGGAGGACCAUGAGGAACAAAAACUCAGACUAUCUCAGACUGGGUUUAUGGCUGUUAGCAUCUCCACUCUCUACCGCUCAGAGCUGCCCUGUGCACCCUAAUCCUGACAGAGUCUCAGAGUAUGUGAGGAGCUGGAUGGAGAGGUUAUUAUUAUUAUUUUUAUCAUAUUAUGACAGAUGUGACGUAGGGGCUAGGUCUAUACUUUAUCCUACUGAGAUGCUUGACCCAGAGUAACCUGGGUCAAAAAUUUAUCGGGAUGAACUUUACCAAAGUCCAUUUGCAAUUCCCAUCAAACAACACCGAGUAAACAAAGAAAAUGCUGCCAUUAAGCACCACAGUGAUCAAAAACAUUUUUGCCCUCCCGGGUCAAUCACUUUCCAACAACAGUCAGUACGUUUACAUACACAGUAUAAUCGGACUAAGCUAAUAAUUCGUUUUUUUUUUUUUUCGCUGAAUCGGACUUCUCUUCUUGUACAUGCAGCAGAGAAAAUUGAAUUAUUGACGUGAACGUGCCCUGCUCCCCAAAACUAGGGGGCGAUAUGGGUCUUCACAGAAGCGCUGUUUCCGGAACUUUUUAAAAUAUGUCUCCGUUCCUCGUUUUGCAACCGUCCAAAUACUUUAAAAUGUCAAUUUCUGUCACGACGGAAAGCAUAAUGGCGCUCUCCUCGUCGUUCCAAAAGUGGACGUUCUUUUGUGCUUUAGCUGUGUUGCUUCUGAGUUUAAAGUUCUUUAAAUGAUAGCGCCGCUUCUUCUCUGGUGUUUCUGUUCCGGGGUUACGAAGGUGUGGCGCACACACACAUACAUUGUCUGAUCAUUCUCUGACUACGCUGCUUACAUGGUAGAGAAAAUCGAAUUCCAAUCACAUUAUCUGGGUGUCUCAAUUCGAGUUCUCAAACUCUGAUUAUAGUCGGACUAAGGUGUUUACAUGCACUUCAGUUGUCCGGUCUUAAUCAAAGUAAGGCGAUAAUACGGUUUUCUCAAGUGUCAUGGAAACGUACUGAUUGACAUAGCUACCUUUAUUCCUCAGCCCCAGAUAACAGGACAGCGACACUUACAGCACACAAAGUGAACUGCAGCUUAUUCUAGGUUAUAACUUCAAUAUCUUUGGCUCCGACAUGUGACAAAUUUUACAGACAGCCUAGUUUUACUCCUCAUUAUAGAAGUUGUCGUUUUCUUCCGCUUCAUCCAGGCAGCAGCUUCAGGAGGGAAGCCCAGACGGCCCUCACCCCAGCCACUUCUACCAGCUCCUCCAGGGGGGAUUCCCAGGCGCUCCCAGGCCAGGCGAGAGAUAUAAUCCCUCCACCUGGUCCUGGGCUGGCCACGAGGUCUCCUCCCGGUGGGACAUGUCCAGAACACCUCUAACGGGAGGCGUCCAGAAGACAUCCUAACCAGAGCCACCUCAGCUGACUCCUCUCAACGUGGAGGAGCAGCAGUUCUACUCUGAGCGCCUCCCGAGUGUCUGAGCUCCUUGCCCUAUCUCUAAGGCUGAGCCCGUCCAACCUGGGGAGGAAUCCCAUUUCGGCCGCUUGUAUCUGCUUUCUUGUUCUUUCGGUCAUUACCCAAAGUUCAUGAACAUAGGUGAGGAUCGGCACAUAGAUCGACCGGUAAAUCGAGAAUCUCACCUUACGGCUCAGCUCUUUCUUCA
rnacentral:lncRNA from 1 species